CUCUCCUACGGGACGCAGCAGUGAGGAAUAUUGGUCAAUGGCCGAGAGGCUGAACCAGCCAAGUCGCGUGAGGGAAGAAUGUCCUAAGGAUUGUAAACCUCUUUUGUCGGGGAGCAAAAAGGCUCUGCGGAGUCGUAUUGAGAGUACCCGAAGAAAAAGCAUCGGCUAACUCCGUGCCAGCAGCCGCGGUAAUACGGAGGAUGCGAGCGUUAUCCGGAUUUAUUGGGUUUAAAGGGUGCGUAGGCGGAUUUUUAAGUCAGCGGUAAAAUGUCCGGGCUCAACCCGGGCCGGCCGUUGAAACUGGG
rnacentral:rRNA from 1 species